CGGGGCAACCUGGCGGCGAGUGGCGAACGGGUGAGUAAUACAUCGGAACGUACCCAGAAGUGGGGGAUAACGUAGCGAAAGUUACGCUAAUACCGCAUACGUUCUACGGAAGAAAGUGGGGGACCUUCGGGCCUCAUGCUUUUGGAGCGGCCGAUGUCUGAUUAGCUAGUUGGUGAGGUAAAGGCNNACCAAGGCGACGAUCAGUAGCUGGUCUGAGAGGACGACCAGCCACACUGGGACUGAGACACGGCCCAGACUCCUACGGGAGGCAGCAGUGGGGAAUUUUGGACAAUGGGCGCAAGCCUGAUCCAGCAAUGCCGCGUGAGUGAAGAAGGCCUUCGGGUUGUAAAGCUCUUUUGUCAGGGAAGAAACGGGGUUGGCUAAUAUCCGACCUUAAUGACGGUACCUGAAGAAUAAGCACCGGCUAACUACGUGCCAGCAGCCGCGGUAAUACGUAGGGUGCAAGCGUUAAUCGGAAUUACUGGGCGUAAAGCGUGCGCAGGCGGUUUUGUAAGUCUGACGUGAAAUCCCCGGGCUCAACCUGGGAAUUGCGUUGGAGACUGCAAGGCUGGAGUCUGGCAGAGGGGGGUAGAAUUCCACGUGUAGCAGUGAAAUGCGUAGAGAUGUGGAGGAACACCGAUGGCG
rnacentral:rRNA from 1 species